ensembl:lncRNA
AGUCGUGACACCUUCAUGAAUGUUACAGUAUCAUAACACAUUUAUGAAACCAGUCGUGACACCUUCAUGAAUGUUACAGUAUCAUAACACAUUUAUUCAGCAUCAUGUAUAAGGGGCCUACAGCGUAUUCACCAGUUAGCAUACUCUUUCCAUAGGAUACUGACCCAAUGUAAACAGAGUCACACGUACUGAGAAAAACUACGCUUUGCUUUGUGUAUUGCUCAACAGGGAAAAAAGUACUCUUGCAUCAAAGUUACUGUAGCUGCUUGUGUCAACAAGUGGCAUGAUUCCAUUCCUAACAGUUAACAUCCAUUCAGUCCAUUCAUACCCCAAAAUGGAAGUCAACCAGGACCCAGGGAGAGGACGGAUUGAGUUAUCUUUUUGGAAUUAGAUCAAUGUCUUCUGUUGCCAAGAAAGACUCAAGACUGUCGAGCAGAGUCAUAAUAAAUGUUCUCUCUGUGUCUGUGGUGUUAUUAGCAGAGCAGCAGAGAUAAUAAAUGUUCUCCCUGUGUCUGUGGUGUUAUUAUCAGAGCAGCAGAGAUAAUAAAUGUUCUCCCUGUGUCUGUGGUGUUAUUAUCAGAGCAGCAGAGAUAAUAAAUGUUCUCCCUGUGUCUGUGGUGUUAUUAUCAGAGCAGCAGAGAUAAUAAAUGUUCUCCCUGUGUCUGUGGUGUUAUUAUCAGAGCAGCAGAGAUAAUAAAUGUUCUCUCUGUGUCUGUGGCGUUAUUAUCAGAGCAGCAGAGAUAAUAAAUGUUCUCCCUGUGUCUGUGGUGUUAUUAGCAGAGCAGCAGAGAUAAUAAAUGUUCUCCCUGUGUCUGUGGUGUUACUAUCAGAGCAGCAGAGAUAAUAAAUGUUCUCUCUGUGUCUGUGGUGUUACUAUCAGAGCAGCAGAGAUAAUAAAUGUUCUCCCUGUGUCUGUGGUGUUAUUAGCAGAGCAGCAGAGAUAAUAAAUGUUCUCCCUGUGUCUGUGGCGUUAUUAUCAGAGCAGCAGAGAUAAUAAAUGUUCUCCCUGUGUCUGUGGCGUUAUUAUCAGAGCAGCAGAGAUAAUAAAUGUUCUCCCUGUGUCUGUGGUGUUAUCAGAGCAGCAGAGAUAAUAAAUGUUCUCUCUGUGUCUGUGGCGUUAUCAGAGCAGCAGAGAUAAUAAAUGUUCUCCCUGUGUCUGUGGCGUUAUUAUCAGAGCAGCAGAGAUAAUAAAUGUUCUCCUGUGUCUGUGGCGUUAUUAUCAGAGCAGCGGAGAUAAUAAAUGUUCUCUGUGUCUGUGGCGUUAUUAGCAGAGCAGCAGAGAUAAUAAAUGUUCUCCCUGUGUCUGUGGCGUUAUCAGAGCAGCAGAGAUAAUAAAUGUUCUCCCUGUGUCUGGCGUUAUUAUCAGAGCAGCAGAGAUAAUAAAUGUUCUCCCUGUGUCUGUGGCGUUAUUAUCAGAGCAGCGGAGAUAAUAAAUGUUCUCUCUGUGUCUGUGGCGUUAUUAUCAGAGCAGGGGAGAUAAUACAUAUUCUCUCUGUGUCUGUUGUUUUAUUUUGUGGCCUUACAUCACAUCAAUGGAUGUUGACCGUACCGCAUCAAACAGUAGCUACAAUUGGAUGAGGCUAUGGAGCUAUGGAGACAUCCUCAACUCACCAGAAUGGAUAACUUACUCUCAUUAAAUCCCACUGGACUUUUGAUUGUUUCUUGUGGAAUAAGUUGAAGAUAUUUGUGUGGACAUAGAUGCCUUACUGUGUUGUUUUGCUUUGCCACAUGUUGCAGUAUGACAUUAGUGCCUUGUUGCAAACAGGAUGCAUGUUUUGGAAUAUUUUUUUAUUCUGUACAGGCUUCCUUCUUUUCACUCUGUCAUUUAGGUUAGUAUUGUGGUGUAUCUAUGGUGUUGUUGAUCCAUCCUCAGUGUUCUCCUAUCACAGCCAUUAAACUCUGUAACUGUUUUAAAGUCACCAUUGGCCUCAUGGUGAAAUCCCUGAGUGGUUUCCUUCCUCCCCAGCAGCUGAGUUAGGAACGACGCAUGUAUCUUGUAUGUAAUCCCACUUUGACAUUAUUGUGUGUAGGCCAGUGACAAAAACAUCUCAUUUUAAUCCAUUUUAAAUUCAGGCUGUAACACAACAUGUGGAAAAAGUCACGGGGUGUGAAUACUUUCUGAAGGUCCUGUAUGUUGUCCUGUUUGAAAUAUGCUAGGCUGUAGCAGGAUCUAUGGGUGCCUUUCUCUGAGAAGGAAUGAAUGUCCAACAUCAAUGUCCAACAACAUGGACACUUGCAUGAUGUAUGGUUGUCUCUACCUUCUUGCCCUUUGUGCUGUUGUCUGUGCCCAAUAAUGUUUGUAUCAUGUUUUGUGCUGCUACCAUGUUGUGAUGGUGCCAUGUUGUGUUGCUACCAUGUUGUCAAUUUGUGUUGCUACCAUACUGUGUUAUGUUGUGUUGCUACCAUGCUGUGUUAUGUGUUGCUGCCGUGCUGUUGUUGUCUUAGGUCUCUCUUUAUGUAGUGUUGUCUCUCUUGUCAUGUUUGUUUUGUCCUAUAUUUAGUAUUUUUAAUCACAGCACCCGUCACCGCAGGAGGCCUUUUGUCUUUUGGUAGGCUGUCAUUGUAAAUAAGAAUUUGUUCUUAACUGACUUGCCUAGUUAAAUAAAGGUUAAAUAAAUAAAUCUAGCAAAUGAGAUUCAUACUGAGUUGCAAUGCACUAACCAAAUAAAAGUGUAUUUGUCACAUGCUUUGUAAACAACAGAUGUAGACUAAGAGUGAAAUGCUUCCUGCCUGGUCCUUUACCAACACCGCAGAGUUAAAGAUAAAGGAUUAAAUAGAAAUAGCAACAUGAGGAAUAAAUACACGGUGAAUAACGAAUAAUGAGAAAACAAUAACAUGGCUGUAUACAGGGAGUAGAAACUAACAUGGCUGUAUACAGGGAGUAGAAACUAACAUGGCUAUAUACAGGGAGUAGAAACUAACAUGGCUAUAUACAGGAAGUAGAAACUAACAUGGCU